CAGCACUGCAAAGUUUCCAUCCAAUGUGCCUCAAUCCUGCCCAGGAAGCAAUACCAGUCUCCAUGCCCAGUCAGUUCUUGGCCUCUCUUCUGAGACUCUUUGCAAUGGUGCAAGUUAAUACCCAUUACAGUGCUAGGUCUUGCAAUGUGGAUUCCCGUUUGAUAGCUCUGAGACCAACAAAUGCAUUUGACUGAGUUUUCCUUCUUGUGGCAAUCUGUGUCAGAAGGAAUUUACUUGGAAUACUCUGCCUUCUAUGUCUUCUUUGUAAUGCUGGCCAUGAAAAUCCUAGAGCUGGGUGAAACAUUUUGCAGAGUGACCUAGAACAAAAAAGGAUCAUUACCUUCAGUUCCUCAGAUUUUUGCAAUAUGGCACACGUGAGGCUACCUUUGGAGUAUUCAAGGCAUUGAUUUUGCUCUAUAAAGAUUUUUUCAUUUGGGAACUGUCUGCAUGUGGGGAGAUGGUACCACUUGCCCGCUGUAACAUCUAGAGAAGAUGAGAAAAUCUGAAGUACUCCUGCUAACAAUCUGGUAUUGGGGCUUAAAAAACUGGAGUGAGAGUGGGGUUACUCUGGAGAAUUGUGUGUGGCAUUGUUACAAGAGAGUUGUCAGUUGGAUGGAGAUUGACUCUAAGCAUGUAAAUUAAAAAACCAUCCCACUUGGUCAUUUCUAUACUGCCUUUCCAAAAAGUAGCUGUUUUCUUUGC